rnacentral:rRNA from 1 species
CGAUGAAGAACGCAGCUAGCUACGAUAAUCGGUGCGAAUUGCAGGACACGCCGAGCACUUGAGCUUCUAACGCACAUUGCGGCUUUCGGGUCUUUUCCGAGGUCACAUCUGUCUGAGAGUUGAGAUGUAAAAUAAUCAACAAAACACUUGUAUACUACCAUAUAUGCAUUGUUUUGAGAUUCGCGUGUAUACGUGUAUCUUGAUGUUUUAUUCCUUUUCUUAAUUGCACAUUUUCUGUGCAGUUUAGUAAGGAGAAUCUCAAAUCUACUUGUUUCACAUAAUAAGUUUUGUGUUCAAUGCAUAUUUCAUCUCUGUAAACAGUAUAUAUGAAUAGAUACUAGCAUGAGAUUCUAAGGUUAGUCGCCUAUCUGACGACGCUAAAGUCGUAUUGCAGAUAACUAUGGUGAUCAGCUAACCUUCUCUAUUGAGAUUUCUCAAUGCACUUGUAUGAAUACAUUUACAUACAAAAUGGUAACUAUCUCAUUCUGUUUGAAGCAGAGCUAAGGACUAUUGCUGAUACCAAAAUUUGUGUAAACACAUAAGUAGAUUUACGUUGAUUUGCUUGCAAACAACACCAAUAUACAAUCAACUUAAUCAAUAUUUUUGAUCUCAGAUCAGGUGAGGUUACCCGCUGAAUUUAAGCAU